UACGUAGGGCGCAAGCGUUAUCCGGAUUUAUUGGGCGUAAAGAGCUCGUAGGCGGUUUGUCGCGUCUGCCGUGAAAGUCCGAGGCUCAACCUCGGAUCUGCGGUGGGUACGGGCAGACUAGAGUGAUGUAGGGGAGACUGGAAUUCCUGGUGUAGCGGUGAAAUGCGCAGAUAUCAGGAGGAACACCGAUGGCGAAGGCAGGUCUCUGGGCAUCUACUGACGCUGAGGAGCGAAAGCAUGGGGAGCGAAC
rnacentral:rRNA from 1 species